CGCCACUCGCUCGUGACUGUAGCGCCGCGCCUCAGGCGGCCGAGGCGGCGGGCCCGGCGCGGUCUCUGCUCCGCGCACGCGCACGGCGGCGCCUCCCGGUGCUGACAGCGCGAGAGAGCGCGGCCCGCAGCAGCAGGACGAAUGCAUGACAACAUGUCCACGAUGGUGUACAUAAAGGAAGAUAAGUUGGAGAAGCUUACACAGGACGAAAUCAUUUCUAAGACAAAGCAGGUGAUCCAGGGCCUGGAAGCUCUGAAGAAUGAGCACAACUCUAUUCUACAGAGUUUACUGGAGACACUGAAGUGUCUGAAGAAAGAUGACGAGAGCAACCUGGUGGAGGAGAAAUCAAACAUGAUCCGGAAGUCGCUAGAGAUGCUGGAGCUGGGCCUGAGCGAGGCACAGGUCAUGAUGGCUUUGUCAAAUCACCUGAAUGCUGUUGAGUCAGAAAAACAGAAGCUGCGUGCGCAGGUCCGCCGUCUGUGCCAGGAGAAUCAGUGGCUGCGGGACGAGCUGGCCAACACGCAGCAGAAAUUACAGAAGAGUGAGCAGUCUGUGGCACAACUGGAGGAGGAAAAGAAGCAUCUGGAAUUUAUGAAUCAGCUGAAAAAAUACGAUGACGACAUUUCCCCAUCUGAGGACAAGGACACGGAUUCCACCAAAGAGCCUCUGGAUGACCUUUUCCCCAACGAUGAAGAUGACCCAGGACAAGGCAUCCAGCAGCAGCACAGCAGCGCUGCUGCAGCUGCCCAGCAGGGCGGCUACGAGAUCCCCGCACGGCUGCGCACGCUCCACAACCUGGUGAUCCAGUACGCCUCCCAGGGCCGCUACGAGGUGGCGGUGCCCCUCUGCAAGCAGGCAUUGGAGGAUCUGGAGAAGACUUCAGGACACGACCACCCCGACGUGGCCACCAUGCUCAACAUCCUGGCCUUGGUGUACAGGGAUCAAAAUAAAUACAAAGAUGCAGCUAAUCUACUGAAUGAUGCCUUGGCUAUUCGCGAAAAGACUUUGGGCAAAGAUCAUCCUGCGGGAAAGCUCACGAGCUGCCUUUCCCUGGCGCAGGUGGCAGCAACUUUGAACAACCUUGCGGUCCUUUAUGGUAAAAGAGGAAAGUACAAAGAAGCUGAGCCGUUGUGUAAACGAGCUUUGGAGAUCAGAGAAAAGGUUUUGGGCAAGGAUCACCCUGAUGUCGCUAAGCAGUUGAAUAAUUUGGCCUUACUGUGCCAGAACCAGGGCAAAUACGAAGAGGUGGAGUAUUAUUAUCAAAGAGCCCUUGAGAUCUACCAGACAAAACUGGGACCUGAUGACCCCAAUGUAGCCAAGACAAAAAAUAACCUGGCAUCUUGCUAUCUAAAACAAGGAAAGUUCAAGCAAGCAGAAACACUGUAUAAGGAGAUUCUCACCCGUGCACAUGAAAGGGAGUUUGGUUCUGUAGACGAUGAAAAUAAACCCAUUUGGAUGCAUGCUGAAGAAAGAGAAGAAUGCAAAGGAAAGCAAAAGGACGGAACAUCUUUUGGAGAGUAUGGUGGCUGGUACAAAGCCUGCAAAGUUGAUAGUCCAACUGUUACAACUACUCUCAAAAAUCUCGGGGCACUUUACAGACGGCAGGGCAAAUUCGAAGCCGCAGAAACGUUAGAAGAAGCUGCCAUGAGGUCACGCAAACAGGGUCUUGACAAUGUUCACAAACAGAGAGUGGCUGAAGUGCUGAAUGACCCUGAGAACAUGGAGAAGCGGAGGAGCAGGGAGAGCCUCAACGUGGACGUGGUCAAGUACGAGAGUGGCCCUGACGGAGGGGAGGAAGUGAGUAUGAGCGUAGAGUGGAACGGGGAUGGCACUGGAUCUUUAAAACGCAGUGGUUCCUUUAGCAAACUCCGGGCUUCCAUUAGACGCAGCAGUGAGAAGCUGGUUAGGAAGCUGAAGGGAGGAAGUUCACGGGAGAGUGAGCCGAGGAACCCUGGGAACGAAAUAAUUGUCUGACUCGAGGGCUCUGAGUGGCAGCCACACUGACCUGGCCCAGUGAGGGCUGGGCAGAGUAGGUAACCCCAAGUUGAACGGAGUGCUGAGCUCCUCCCAGCGCUGGUGUGCCCCUCCUGCUCUGCCUGGAGGGCCAGGCUGUACAUUCCCUGGAGCGUUCCUUGUAAAAAGACCCAGGGCACCUGGGCCCCAGGAUUCCAUUAGUGACGGACAGUUGCUGAGACCAGUGUGACCCCCAGGGUGAGGCCCAGGGAGGCAGUGGCGGCGCUGGCAUCAGCUUCAGCACAUUUGGAAUCAGCCACUGCUCAUGGGUACUGUUGUGUCUUCUGCCUGUCACCAAACUGCCUUGACAGUAAACGCUUCUAAAUUUGAAUAUUGCAAUAAGGCUGUACAUUAAGAAUCUGGAAACUUAAACUGCAUCUUUUUCAAAUGAUCAGCAUUAAUGAGCUGAUCUUCAACAGCAAAGCCUGAAGCUGAGAGGGCAGUGGUCAUAAGAAAGGAGGAAGUGGGUCGCUCUCCCAGAGGCUUCACUUUAGGUCUCUCUUUCCAGAGUCCCAGCAUCUGUGGCCUGGGAUACCUUCUGGGUGUAUGGCUGUGCUAGGAGCAUCUGGGGCUCCGCUUCACCCCUUUUGAGGCAUCCCCAGCAGAGCCUCCCUCUGUGGAGAACGACAGCAGCAGCCUAGAAGAUGCAUCCGCUAACUGACCCUGGCCUGGCCUGCUCCAGAAUGAAGCUGCUGUGUGCAGGCCUCGGAGCCGCCCAGGGACAGCCACGGCGAGGCUGGGAGGGCCUCCGGUGGAGCCUGCAGCUCCGACUUGGCUGCUCUUGCACUCACGCCUGUGCUCAUGGGUGCCGCACUCCCCAGGGAGCACAGGCUGCGCCCCUCCCAGACCUGCUGGGCCUCCGAGGGCCACUCCCAGUAUUCGUCCCCAGCACUGUGUGUGAUAAUGUAUUUUACUGUAAAUGUUUUUUUAAAUUAAAAGUUUAUAUGCCUCGUGCUUUA